rnacentral:lncRNA from 1 species
CCGUUAUUUUCUUUUCCUCCGGUUAAAAUUACAACCAAUAUGACACUGUCCGUUAUUUUCUUUUUCUCCAGUUUUUUUCACGAUUUCUCCUACUCCGUCUUACAACCGACGCCACCACACCCGCAUGCCAACCUCAACGGCGCCAUGAGUUGCCUACACAGAAAACAAUAAUAAAUAGUUUGUGAUUUUAUUGACCCAUAGCAACACGUGGGCACACCUGCUAGUCUACUAGUAUUCUUUAAUUUCCAGUUUGCGUACGUUGGUCGU